rnacentral:lncRNA from 1 species
UCAUGGUGCCCCGGGGGGCUGCUCCAGCCGAGCCCCAGGUGCUCAGCCACAUCCACUACCACCACCACCAGCACCACCACUACAGGCGGGACGCCGAGUGUCCCCCUGGGCGAGCCGGCCAGGGGCCGGGGCCACGCAGAUCCCGCUACUCCGGGGCCAAGGUUGCUUUCCACGGUGGUCGUACACAAAAGAGGACUGAGAAAAGCCAUCACUCUCAGCAGCCUCUGGAAAGCGGUGCCGUGCUGCAGGAGGCAUCUCCAGCAGGACAGCCAGCCUGUCCCCAGGAAGGCUGGGACCCCCCUCACGCCCCCUCCACUUCUCCAAACAGGUUGGACGUCAGUGUAGAUGCCAACAGACAAUUGGGAGCAGCUGGCACACCCCCUGUCACGCUGGCCCCCAGACACAGCUUACAGAGCAGGCAUCACCGAAGGAAAAGAAAGUGUCCCCUGGUGCCCGACCCUGCUCUCCUGCCCAAGGACUCAGCCAAGCCCAGAGCCUGCGACACUCACCUCCCUCCCGGCCAUCCCUACCGCUGCUGUCCCGAAGCCCAGCCCCUGAUCCCAAGCGCUCCCAUGCCCGCCGGCUCCCGGCCGCUCUGGAAGUGUUUGGUGCCACAGCCCAGCUCCGAGCUGAGGAAGCAGGAGGAGGGGUUGUCAGGACAGGAGAAAAACCGCUCGGUUCCUGCAGAUUUCUCAGGGAUGGGCACCUCCAGACACGGUCUGAGUGUCCACCUUCACUGCCCAUCUCAGAAGGGUGGUCAGGGAUCUGAAGAGGAGGUUCAGGAUGUCCAUGAACACUCAGUUUAAUAAAACACUGGCCUGUUUGCUCGCUGGGAGCUGGAGUGGACACAGAUGUUGAUGGAGCUGCUCACAUCUGGCUCUGCCUAGCCUGCUCUGCUGAGACACGGACUGCCAAGAGCAACGGGCCGCUCGUGGUCUCCUGACACGUCCCCACACCCUGAUGGUCACAAUUAGAGCCCUGCUCUCCAGGCCCCAUCUCCUCUGAAGGCACAGGCAGCCCCUCAUCAUCCCAUGGCGUCGCUCCAGGCCGGGCAGGGCUCCCAGGGAGAGCUCACCGAGUGAGUGCAAGCUGCUAUUUUGGUGUGUUUAUGCCACAGAAGGUUUUGCUAAACACUGCAAAAAUAAACAAGCCUUCGAGACCA